GCAGGCCUAACACAUGCAAGUCGAGCGGAUGAAGGGAGCUUGCUCCUGGAUUCAGCGGCGGACGGGUGAGUAAUGCCUAGGAAUCUGCCUGGUAGUGGGGGAUAACGUCCGGAAACGGGCGCUAAUACCGCAUACGUCCUACGGGAGAAAGCAGGGGACCUUCGGGCCUUGCGCUAUCAGAUGAGCCUAGGUCGGAUUAGCUUGUUGGUGAGGUAAUGGCUCACCAAGGCUGCGAUCCGUAACUGGUCUGAGAGGAUGAUCAGUCACACUGGAACUGAGACACGGUCCAGACUCCUACGGGAGGCAGCAGUGGGGAAUAUUGGACAAUGGGCGAAAGCCUGAUCCAGCCAUGCCGCGUGUGUGAAGAAGGUCUUCGGAUUGUAAAGCACUUUAAGUUGGGAGGAAGGGUUGUAGGUUAAUACCCUGCAAUUUUGACGUUACCGACAGAAUAAGCACCGGCUAACUUCGUGCCAGCAGCCGCGGUAAUACGAAGGGUGCAAGCGUUAAUCGGAAUUACUGGGCGUAAAGCGCGCGUAGGUGGUUUGUCAAGUUGGAAGUGAAAGCCCCGGGCUCAACCUGGGAACUGCUUUCAAAACUGGCAAGCUAGAGUAUGGCAGAGGGUGGUGGAAUUUCCUGUGUAGCGGUGAAAUGCGUAGAUAUAGGAAGGAACAUCAGUGGCGAAGGCG
rnacentral:rRNA from 1 species